rnacentral:rRNA from 1 species
UGGGGAAUCUUGGACAAUGGGGGCAACCCUGAUCCAGCCAUGCCGCGUGAGUGAUGAAGGCCUUAGGGUCGUAAAGCUCUUUCGCCUGUGAAGAUAAUGACGGUAGCAGGUAAAGAAACCCCGGCUAACUCCGUGCCAGCAGCCGCGGUAAUACGGAGGGGGUUAGCGUUGUUCGGAAUUACUGGGCGUAAAGCGCACGUAGGCGGACCAGAAAGUUGGGGGUGAAAUCCCGGGGGCUCAACCCCGGAACUGCCUCCAAAACUAUUGGUCUAGAGUUCGAGAGAGGUGAGUGGAAUUCCAAGUGUAGAGGUGAAAUUCGUAGAUAUUUGGAGGAACACCAGUGGCGAAGGCGGCUCACUGGCUCGAUACUGACGCUGAGGUGCGAAAGUGUGGGGAGCAAACAGGAUUAGAUACCCUGGGUAGUCCACACCGUAAAACGAUGAAUGCCAGUCGUCGGGUAGCAUGCUAUUCGGUGACACACCUAACGGAUUAAGCAUU